ensembl:lncRNA
AAAUAAAGGUUUUGCAAACAGUAUUGAUAUUUGUUUUAUUGUAUCCUGAGGGCUCUAUGCUAAAUGAAUAGCCAAGAAUCAAGGUCAAGAGAGAAGGAAAACAAAUGGGGGAAAAAUGAUUAAAGGAAGGCACUUAACUCCUGGGAGGCAGCACAAAGAACUCUAUAGAAAGGAAACAGUCUACAGAAAGCACUUUCACUUCAAGAGAAAGCUGAGAGGAAAGAUCUAAAUAGUAGAUGCUGAUGGACAAUCUGGAAGGAAGGAAGCUAUCAGAAGAUUUUGGAAAUGAUUGUCACUGACUCCUCUUCACCAAAGAGAUAAGUGAAUGUGACUGGUUUAAAAAAUGCUAAGUUCAGUAAAAGAACACUUGUGGAUGAAGAAAUAAAUCUAAAAUGUCUCUGUAGGACAAAAAAUAAACUUUGAUUUGGUUUGCUUUUAAAUUCAAGUCAUAUUUAUACCAAAACCCACAAGCUUCCUCUUAGUUCUAAGAGCAAAUACAAAAUCCUCUGUCUGGCAUUUAAAGUCUUUCCCAUCUUGACCCCCCUCCUAUCUCUCUAGUAUUCUUACACUUUAAUCCCCUCCAUGUAUUCUACAUUAGGCUCCAUUUUUCUCAGCUAUAAAAUUGGGAGAAUUCUACUUCACAGAGUAAUUGAAGAUCAAAUGAGAUAAUUUUAUUUAAUUGUGCUUUGAUAAACAUAAAACUCUUGUGUUAAAAACAAUAGCCAGCAUUUAUAUCACAGUUAAAUAUUUGCAGAGUUAUUAAUAUUACUGUAUAGAUAUCUGAAUCUCCUUUCUAUUAUCUCUCUUAUUCUCAUUCCCCAACAAACUCUUGCCCCCCCCCAAAAAAAAAAUCACCACCUCAAUAGCUUUUAUCAGCAUAGGAAAAUUACUGUUUUCUUCUUCCCCCUUUAUUUUUUCUUUCAAUUUUCUUUAAGGAUCAAUAUUUUUUAAUCCAUAUAUACUUCUAGACUGUAUUGUUUAUGUCAUAGUACAUGUAAAUUUGGAGAAUAGGGAUUAUGUUUAUUUUACCAUCAUUAGAAUCUCAAUACAAUCCUAGCUAUCAAAUUUACUAGCUUUGAGACUUUAGGAAUCAUUUUAACACUCUGGGUGACAGAUUACUAAAAAUGAGGAUGAUAAUUUGUGGAAAGCUCUUUAGUACUCUUUAGUAAAAAUGUUAAAUGAGGCAAGUAGAUAAAACACUGGACUUGGAGUAAAGAAGACCUGAAUAUGAAUCUUCCUUCAGAAACUUACUAACUGUGUGAUCUUGGGCCAGUCACUUAACCUCUCAGCCUCAGUUUCUUUAUCUGUUAAAUAGGUAUCAUAAUAACACACAUAUCAUAAAAAUUCUUACGAGAAUCCAAUGAAAAACUUCACAAACAAUAUAAUACUAUAUACACAUGAGCCCUGAUGUUGAUGUUAAUACACAGAUCAGCAUCUGGGAAUGUUGUGGGUGAUAAGAAUGAAGUAGGGAAACUUAUUAUAAGUGUCAGCUACUUACAGUAAGAUUGGCCAACUUUAAUUAGAUAUUCCAGUAUGUAUUUUAAUAUCUAUAUUUUCAGAGGAAAAAUUGUUAAACUUUGCCAAUUAAAAAAUCAAAAGGAAAUUACUUCUUCAAGGAAACUUGAAACAUUUUUUUAGGAAAGCCUGGGAUCUUCUAAAUUAAAUGUUAACAAUUCUCAAUCACAUAGUAAUACAGCAAUUAAUCUUUGAAUUUUUAUACUUUUGUUUAUCUGCUUUUUCUCUCUUUGGGAAUAUUUCAGAUAUAGUUGCUACUUAAAGAAUCUCAUCGAAGGAAGAACAAUAGGAAAACAAAGUUUUGGUUUUGUUUUGUUUAUCUAGAGCAUUUGAUUUUACUGUUUCACUUAAUUAGUUAAUCUAGUCUUGCAUUUUAAACAAUGGCUCCUUGAAAAAUAUAAUCACCUCUGCAAAAAAGAAUAUGAAGAUUUGGGAAAUAAUUUUGAAACUUUGACUCCCCACUUUCGUUUUAUAUCCUAAAAUUCCAAAUCCCACUUAUUUCACCUCUAUACCUUUUCCCUCCUCUCUAUUUCCCCUGCUAGUACCCCAAUCAUGGCUCCCAUUACUGCUCAUCCAUGAUAUUACAAUAUUCUACUAACUAGUUUUCCCUUCCUUAAUCUCUCUUCUACAAUUCAUUUAUCACAUGGGUGCCAAAAUAAAUUUUCUUCUACAUAUAUCUGAUCAUAUUCUCACUCUGUUCAAAAACCUUUAAGGACUGCCUAUUGACAACCAGA